UACGUAGGGUGCAAGCGUUGUCCGGAAUUAUUGGGCGUAAAGAGCUCGUAGGCGGUUUGUCGCGUCGAAAUGUGAAAACCCGGGGCUCAACCCCGGGCCUGCAUUCGAUACGGGCAGACUAGAGUUCGGUAGGGGAGUCUGGAAUUCCUGGUGUAGCGGUGAAAAUGCGCAGAUAUCAGGAGGAACACCGGUGGCGAAGGCGGGACUCUGGGCCGAUACUGACGCUGAGGAGCGAAAGCGUGGGGAGCAAACAGG
rnacentral:rRNA from 1 species